rnacentral:rRNA from 1 species
UACGAGGGAUGCAAGCGUUAUCCGGAAUUAUUGGGCGUAAAGCGUUUGUAGGCGGGCGAGUGUGUUUAAUGUUAAAUCUUAAAGCUCAACUUUGAAAUUGCGUUAAAAACUGCUUGUCUUGAGUAUGGUAGGGGUAAAGGGAAUUCCCAGUGUAGCGGUGAAAUGCGUAGAUAUUGGGAAGAACACUAAACAGCGAAGGCACUUUACUAGGCUAAUACUGACGCUGAGAAACGAAAGGUAAGGUAGCGAAACGGAUUAGAUACCCGUGUAGUCUUACCCGUAAACUAUGGACACUAAACGGUAAAUUUUUAAUUUACUGUUAAAGCUAACGCGUUAAGUGUCCCGCCUGGGGAGUAUGCUUGCAAAAGUGAAACUCAAAGGAAUUGACGGGGGCCCGCACAAGCGGUGGAGCAUGUGGUUUAAUUCGACGGUACACGAAGAACCUUACCAGGAUUUGACAUGCUAGAUAGUUGCUUGAAAGAGUAACGUGCCGUAAGGAAUCUAGACACAGGUGGUGCAUGGCUGUCGUCAGUUCGUGUUGUGAAAUGUUGGGUUAAGUCCCGCAACGAACGCAACCCUUGUCUUUAGUUAUUUUCUAAAGAGACUGCCUGUAAUAAACAGGAGGAAGGUAAGGAUGAGGUCAAGUCAUCAUGCCCCUUAUGUCCUGGGCUACACACGUGCUACAAUGGGAAAGACAAUGAGCUGCAAAUCUGUAAAUUUAAGCAAAUCUCUUAAACUUUCUCGUAGUUCGGAUUGUGGGCUGCAACUCGCCCACAUGAAGUUGGAAUCGCUAGUAAUCGCAUAUCAGAACGAUGCGGUGAAUACGUUCCCGGGCCU